GAUGAACGCUGGCGGCGUGCCUAAUACAUGCAAGUCGAGCGAACAGAUGAGGAGCUUGCUCCUCUGACGUUAGCGGCGGACGGGUGAGUAACACGUGGAUAACCUACCUAUAGGACUGGGAUAACUUCGGGAAACCGGAGCUAAUACCGGAUAAUAUAUUGAACCGCAUGGUUCAAUAGUGAAAGACGGUUUUGCUGUCACUUAUAGAUGGAUCCCCGCCGCAUUAGCUAGUUGGUAAGGUAACGGCUUACCAAGGCAACGAUGCGUAGCCGACCUGAGAGGGUGAUCGGCCACACUGGAACGGAGACACGGUCCAGACUCCUACGGGAGGCAGCAGUAGGGAAUCUUCCGCAAUGGGCGAAAGCCUGACGGAGCAACGCCGCGUGAGUGAUGAAGGUCUUCGGAUCGUAAAACUCUGUUAUUAGUGAAGAACAAAUGUGUAAGUAACUAUGCACGUCUUGACGGUACCUAAUCAGAAAGCCACGGCUAACUACGUG
rnacentral:rRNA from 1 species